GGGGAACUACGUGCGAGGGGCGUCGGUAGUAGGGUGGGAGCAGGGGUUGGCCGGAAUCGUGGGGCGUAAGGCGGUGGUAGGGGGGCCGGUAAGGCCGUUGUGGAAGUCGAAGGCGCAACCGUUGAAAGCUGAUGGAUACGGCAGGGGUAGAGUCCGGAAGAGGCGAGUGGAAUGCCUGGUGGAGCGGUGGAAUGCGCAGAUAUCAGGAGGAACACCAAGAGCGAAGGCAGCUCGCUGGGACGGUACUGACGCUAAGGCGCGAAAGCGUGGGGAGCGAACAGGAUUAGAUACCCGGUAGUC
rnacentral:rRNA from 1 species